GAUGAACGCUGGCGGCGUGCCUAAUACAUGCAAGUCGAGCGAACAGACGAGGAGCUUGCUCCUCUGACGUUAGCGGCGGACGGGUGAGUAACACGUGGAUAACCUACCUAUAAGACUGGGAUAACUUCGGGAAACCGGAGCUAAUACCGGAUAAUAUAUUGAACCGCAUGGUUCAAUAGUGAAAGACGGUUUUGCUGUCACUUAUAGAUGGAUCCGCGCCGCAUUAGCUAGUUGGUAAGGUAACGGCUUACCAAGGCAACGAUGCGUAGCCGACCUGAGAGGGGGAUCGGCCACACUGGAGCUGAGACACGGUCCAGACUCCUACGGGAGGCAGCAGUAGGGAAUCUUCCGCAAUGGGCGAAAGCCUGACGGAGCAACGCCGCGUGAGUGAUGAAGGUCUUCGGAUCGUAAAACUCUGUUAUUAGGGAAGAACAAAUGUGUAAGUAACUAUGCACGUCUUGACGGUACCUAAUCAGAAAGCCACGGCUAACUACGUG
rnacentral:rRNA from 1 species